CCUACGGGUGACAGCAGUGAGGAAUAUUGGUCAAUGGGCGUAAGCCUGAACCAGCCAAGUCGCGUGAGGGAUGAAGGUUCUAUGGAUCGUAAACCUCUUUUAUAAGGGAAUAAAGUGUGGGACGUGUCCUGUUUUGUAUGUACCUUAUGAAUAAGGAUCGGCUAACUCCGUGCCAGCAGCCGCGGUAAUACGGAGGAUCCGAGCGUUAUCCGGAUUUAUUGGGUUUAAAGGGUGCGUAGGCGGCCUUUUAAGUCAGCUGUGAAAGUCUGUGGCUCAACCAUAGAAUUACCGUUGAAACUGGGAGGCUUGAGUAUGUUUGAGGCAGGCGGAAUGCGUGGUGUAGCGGUGAAAUGCUUAGAUAUCACGCAGAACCCCGAUUGCGAAGGCAGCCUGCCAAGCCAUGACUGACGCUGAUGCACGAAAGCGUGGGGAUCAAACAGGAUUAGAUACCCGGGUAGUC
rnacentral:rRNA from 1 species